UACGUAGGGUGCAAGCGUUGUCCGGAAUUAUUGGGCGUAAAGAGCUCGUAGGCGGUCUGUCGCGUCGGCUGUGAAAACCCGGGGCCCAACCCCGGGCCUGCAGUCGAUACGGGCAGACUAGAGUGCGGUAGGGGAGACUGGAAUUCCUGGUGUAGCGGUGAAAUGCGCAGAUAUCAGGAGGAACACCGGUGGCGAAGGCGGGUCUCUGGGCCGUAACUGACGCUGAGGAGCGAAAGCGUGGGGAGCGAACAGG
rnacentral:rRNA from 1 species